rnacentral:piRNA from 1 species
UCCCAUGGAGGUGGUACUCAACAGC